rnacentral:rRNA from 1 species
CGGGAGCGCAGAGACAGGUGGUGCAUGGCUGUCGUCAGCUCGUGUCGUGAGAUGUUGGGUUAAGUCCCGCAACGAGCCGCAACCCACGUCUUUAGUUGCCAGCAUUUAGUUGGGCACUCUAGGGAGACCGCCGGUGAUAAACCGGAGGAAGGUGUGGAUGACGUCAAGUCAUCAUGCCCCUUUACAUCCUGGGCUACACACGUACUACAAUGCUACGGACAAAGGGCAGCAAACUCGCGAGAGCUAGCAAAUCCCAUAAACCGUGGCUCAGUUCAGAUCGUAGGCUGCAACUCGCCUACGUGAAGGAGGAAUCGCUAGUAAUCGCAGGUCAACAUACUGCGGUGAAUACGUUCCCGGGCCUUGUACACACCGCCCGUCACACCAUGGAAGUUGGCCAUGCCCGAAGUCGUUACUCCAACCUUGUGGAGGAGAC